rnacentral:rRNA from 1 species
UGAGGAAUAUUGGGCAAUGGAGGCAACUCUGACCCAGCCAUGCCGCGUGCAGGAAGACGGCCCUACGGGUUGUAAACUGCUUUUAUACAGGAAGAACACCACCCACGUGUGGGUGACUGACGGUACUGUAAGAAUAAGGACCGGCUAACUCCGUGCCAGCAGCCGCGGUAAUACGGAGGGUCCGAGCGUUAUCCGGAAUCAUUGGGUUUAAAGGGUCCGUAGGUGGACAAAUAAGUCAGAGGUGAAAUCCUGCAGCUCAACUGUAGAACUGCCUUUGAUACUGUUUGUCUUGAGUUAUUAUGAAGUGGUUAGAAUGUGUAGUGUAGCGGUGAAAUGCAUAGAUAUCACACAGAAUACCGAUUGCGAAGGCAGAUCACUAACAAUAUACUGACGCUCAUGGACGAAAGCGUGGGUAGCGAACAGG